rnacentral:rRNA from 1 species
CUCAAAGACUAAGCCAUGCAUGUGUUAGUAUGAACUGAAUUUAUAUAGUGAAACUGCGAAUGGCUCAUUACAUCAGUUAUAGUUUAUUUGAUGGAUACGCGUUCAGCACUACAUGGAUACCUGUAGUAACAUAGAGCUAAUACAUGCAUAAGAAUCUGACUUUACGGAAGGAUUUGCACUUAUUAGAUACCAAACCAAUAUCCUCUCGGGGAUUUAUUAGGUGAAUCACAAUAACUGAACAAAUCGCAUAGUCUUGCACUGGCGAUGUAUCAAUCAAGUUUCUGCCCUAUCAACUUGAUGUUAGUGUAUUGUACUAACAUGGUUUUUACGGGUAACAGAGGAUUAGGGUUCGAUCCUGGAGAAGGAGCAUGAGAAAUGGCUACUAUUUCUAAGGAAAGCAGCAGGCGCG